rnacentral:rRNA from 1 species
AUGGCUGAAUCCACGGGAGAGUUGAAGACGAUGCUGCAGGCGCUGCUGCAGCGGUUCGAAGAGACCAUGCUUGCGGGCGACAAGCAGCGCGAGGCCCAGAUCGCAUUCAACACGCAAGUCUCGGCGGAUCUGGCGCAUAUCCGCAAGCAGCUGGAUCUCACCCAGGCCGACGUCGACGAGGUGCGGCAGCAGCGCGAAUCACCUUCUUCACCUGCGGCCACUGCGCCUCACCGACCGAGGGAUGCCGACCACCACGACGGCGACACGCAGGCCUCCACGGUCACGUUGAUGGAGCACGCGCGCGGGCCUCUUCCUCAGGGCCCUGCCAUGCGCCUCGCCAACAACGGGCCGCCCCUGCUGCCGUUGUGGCAUCCUCCCUAG